GACGAACGCUGGCGGCGUGCUUAACACAUGCAAGUCGAACGGAAAGGCCCUGCUUUUGUGGGGUGCUCGAGUGGCGAACGGGUGAGUAACACGUGAGUAACCUGCCCUUGACUUUGGGAUAACUUCAGGAAACUGGGGCUAAUACCGGAUAGGAGCUCCUGCUGCAUGGUGGGGGUUGGAAAGUUUCGGCGGUUGGGGAUGGACUCGCGGCUUAUCAGCUUGUUGGUGGGGUAGUGGCUUACCAAGGCUUUGACGGGUAGCCGGCCUGAGAGGGUGACCGGCCACCUUGGGACUGAGAUACGGCCCAGACUCCUACGGGAGGCAGCAGUGGGGAAUAUUGCACAAUGGGCGGAAGCCUGAUGCAGCAACGCCGCGUGCGGGAUGACGGCCUUCGGGUUGUAAACCGCUUCCGCCUGUGACGAAGCGUGAGUGACGGUAAUGGGUAAAGAAGCACCGGCUAACUACGUG
rnacentral:rRNA from 1 species